GUGCAAUAGAUCCUGAACCCGUCUGCCUACAAGCGGUAGGAGCCCCUAUGUGGGGUGACUGCGUGCCUUUUGCAUAAUGAACCUACGAGUUGCCGUUGCUGGCAAGGCUAACCGGCUAGAGUCGGGUACCCGGAGCGAAAGCGAGUCUGAAUAGGGCGCAUAUAGUCAGCAGGGGCAGACGCGAAACCAAGUGAUCUACCCUUGGCCAGGUUGAAGGUUAGGUAACACUAAUUGGAGGACCGCAUCGGUAAGCGUUGAAAAGCUUUCGAAUGAGCUGAGGGUAGGGGUGAAAGGCUAAUCAAACUUGGAGAUAGCUCGUACUCCCCGAAAUGCAUUUAGGUGCAGCCUGUGGAGUUUCUUACGUGAGGUAGAGCGACUGAUUGGAUGCGAGGCUUUCACCGGCUAUCAAGUCCAGACAAACUCCGAAUGCACGUUAAGUAAGAUCCACGGAGUGAGGGCAUGGGUGCUAAGGUCCAUGUCCGAGAGGAGAAGAAUCCAGACCAUCGGCUAAGGUCCCGAAAUAAUAGCUAAGUUGACCAAACGAAGUCAGAGUGCGAAGACAGCUAGGAUGUUGGCUUGGAAGCAGCCAUUCAUUUAAAGAGUGCGUAACAGCUCACUAGUCGAGUGCUUUGGCGUGGAUAAUAAUCGGGCAUAAGCUAUUUACCGAAGCUGUGGGAUGUGUAAACAUCGGUAGGGGAGCAUUCUAGCGGCGCUGAAGGUGAGAGGACAACUCUUGCUGGAGCUUCUAGAAAAGCAAAUGUAGGUAUAAGUAACGAUAAAGGAGGUGAGAAACCUCCUCGCCGAAAGACUAAGGUUUCCUGAUCAACGCUAAUCGGAUCAGGGUUAGUCGGGGCCUAAGGGGCAGCCGAAGGGCGGACCCGAUGGAAGAACCGGUUAAUAUUCCGGUACUAAUUAUGUGAGCGAUGUGGAGACGGAGAUGUGACGGUCCUGCCAACUGACGGAAUAGUUGGUUGAAGGGUGUAGGAGUUGAUCUGAGUAGGCAAAUCCGCUCGGAGAUCCGAACCUGACAGUACUCUGAGUGCUUGCACAAGGAGAUAUGGACAACUGUAACGGUGCUCCCAAGAAAAUCCGCUAAGCAUAUUGCAUGAUUACCCGUACCAUAAACCGACACAGGUGGUUGGGUUGAGUAUACUAAGGCGCUCGAGUGAUUCGCGGUUAAGGAACUAGGCAAAAUAGUCCUGUAACUUCGGAAUAAAGGACGCUCACAGUGAAGGCUGUGAGCCGCAGAGAAUAGGCCCAGGCGACUGUUUAACAAAAACACAUGGCUAUGCUAAAUCGAAAGAUACUGUAUAUAGCCUGACACCUGCCCGGUGCUGGAAGGUUAAGAGGAGAUGUCAUCGCAAGAGAAGCAUUGAAUUGAAGCCCCAGUAAACGGCGGCCGUAACUAUAACGGUCCUAAGGUAGCGAAAUUCCUUGUCGGGUAAGUUCCGACCUGCACGAAUGGUGUAACGAUCUGGGUACUGUCUCAACCGCGAGCUCGGUGAAAUUGUAGUAUCGGUGAAGAUGCCGAUUACCCGCAACGGGACGAAAAGACCCCGUGAACCUUUACUAUAGCUUUGCAUUGGAUUUGGGUAACAAAUGUGUAGGAUAGGCCGGAGACUAUGAAGCGGGUACGCCAGUAUUCGUGGAGUCGCCGUUGAAAUACGGCCCUUUUGUUAUUUGGGUUCUAACUCGCGGAUGCGAGGACAUUGCAUGGUGGGUAGUUUGACUGGGGUGGUCGCCUCCAAAAGUGUAACGGAGGCUUCUAAAGGUACCCUCAGACCGAUUGGUAACCGGUCGUAGAGUGUAAUGGCACAAGGGUGCUUGACUGGGAGACUAACAAGUCGCACAGGUAGGAAACUAGAGCAUAGUGAUCCGGUGGUUCCGUAUGGAAGGGCCAUCGCUCAAAGGAUAAAAGGUAC
rnacentral:rRNA from 1 species